rnacentral:tRNA from 1 species
AAGGCGCUAAGUUAACAUAAACUAUAUGUCUUCAAAACAUAAAAUUUACCGCUUUUGGGG